rnacentral:lncRNA from 12 species
CUUAGUUACUGGGGUGCAAAUUUGUGGUCAGGUUAACCAUAAGACAGAUAUGAUAGAACUUGGAUUACUUUUAUCAUCACCAUCAAGAUGAAUCAUAUCUAUUGCUCUUUGUUCAAGAAUUGAUGAAAAAGCCUGUUUCAAGGGGCACCUGGGUGGCUCAGUCACUUGAGCGUCUGACUUCAGUUCAGGUCAUGAUCCCAGGGUCCUGGGAUAGAGCCCUGCUUCAGGCUCUGGACUCAGCAAGGAGUCUGUUUCUUCUUCUCCUUCUGCCCUUCUCUUCUCUCAUGCUCUCUGUCUCUCUCUCAAGUGAAUACAUAAAAUCUUAAACAAAACAAAACAAAGCCUGUCUAGAACAUGAAUAAUAUCUUUCACAAACUUCCCUAAUCAAGACCACAAGGAGAAAGAGAGCAGAGCUGUAUCCCAGUUAUUAAACACAUGGAGAAAGCGCUCAGGAAUGAUGGCUAACCUAAGGAAGGGAUGAGGAGAAGUCAAGCAUGCCAUUAAACAAAAGCCUUCUCCUAGCUCAGUGCUCUGUGUAUAGUUCCACACCACCACUUGUCUUGUGCAGAGAGUAUCCCCCCUCCUUUCUGUGUUGCACUCUGCCAUCAUGUUCCUUCUCCUCACAGGGAUCAAGGUCUAGGAGGGAUAAUCUGACCAGUAAGGGAACGCUUCAUCCAAGUGUCAUACUGACAAAGAUGGUAACACAAAAGGUCUCUGUGAUCUACCUGCAUGUAGAAGCAUGA